GACGAACGCUGGCGGCGUGCCUAAUACAUGCAAGUCGAGCGAACAGACGAGGAGCUUGUUCCUCUGACGUUAGCGGCGGACGUGUGAGUAACACGUGGAUACCCUACCUAUAAGUCUGGGAUAACUACGGGAAACCGGCGCUAAUACCGUAUAAUAUCUUGAACCGUAUUGUUCAAUAGUGAAAGUCGGUUUUGCUGUCACUUAUAGAUGGUUCCGCGCCGCAUUAGCUAGUUGGUAAGGUAACGGCUUACCAAGGCAACGAUGCGUAGCCGACCUGAGAGAGUGAUCGGCCACAUUGGAACGUGGACACGGUCAUGGCUCCUGCGAGAGGGAGCAGAAGGGGAUCGGCCGCAAUAGGCGGAAGCCUUACGCAGCAACGGCGCGUGAGUGAUGAAGGUCUUCGGAUCGUAAAACUCUGUUAUGAGGGAAGAACAAAUGUGUAAGUAACUAUGCACGUCUUGACGGUACCUAGUCAGAAAGCCACGGCUAACUACGUG
rnacentral:rRNA from 1 species